UAUUGUAUUCUAUAUUCCCUGAAUUGAAAGACAUUACUCAUUUUGAUGUUUCCAUAUAAAUAUAAUUUCAUUUAUACAUGCUGACACCAGAAACAAAUAUACAGAUGAAAAGAUAAAUUUUCAAAGAACAAUACCCAUGUAUCAUUACAAAUAUAUUUCUUGUACAUGUGUAUAUUCCUGUAUAGUUUUGUGCAUGAAUAAUUUGUGUGUGUU